GUUCUUGUAAACGCGGCUGGGGCGCCGGCCGGCCGGAGCGCGGGCGUCCCGAGCCCCCGGCCCGGUCCCAGCCUCCGGGCGCGCUGCUGGUUUUCUUUUCAGGAGAGGGAGGAACAACAACCAACGUACAAAACACCUCAGUUCCGUGGCGCGGCCUCUUCCUCCCCAAUAGUGCUCGCACGCGCCGGGGAGUUUGUUGGGCUCCGAAAGUGCCUGCGCCCACCUGUGCAGGUGCGGGUGCCUGUGCGGGUGUAGGUGUGGGGGACAACAGCGCCACGCCUCCGCACGCAGGCUUUCCCGCUUUCUCCGCUUUGCUGGGAGUAACCUGAGCUCCGGGCCUGGACCACAAGCUCGAAAACCCUUUCCAGCAGCUGGACUGAGAGACCCUGGGGGUGUGGUAAACUGUGCGGAGAAACCCUGGCAGGCCCGAUGAGGGUCCAGGACUGUGCCCGAGUGCAAAGUAGGGGCCCAAUAAAUGGAUCUGACCCUUG